rnacentral:rRNA from 1 species
UACGGAGGGUGCAAGCGUUGUCCGGAAUCAUUGGGCGUAAAGCGCACGUAGGCGGCUCUUUAAGUCUCUUGGUGAAAGGCUGGGGCUCAACCCCAUGCAUGCCGGGGAUACUGGGGAGCUGGAGACAGGUAGAGGCCAGCGGAAUUCCGGGUGUAGCGGUGGAAUGCGUAGAGAUCCGGAAGAACACCGGAGGCGAAGGCGGCUGGCUGGGCUCGGUCUGACGCUGAGGCGCGAAAGCGUGGGGAGCGAACAGG